UAGGGAAUCUUCGGCAAUGGGGGGAACCCUGACCGAGCAACGCCGCGUGAGUGAAGAAGGUUUUCGGAUCGUAAGGCUCUGUUGUUAAGGAAGAACGAGUGUGAGAAUGGAAAGUUCAUACUGUGACGGUACUUAACCAGAAAGGGACGGCUAACUACGUGCCAGCAGCCGCGGUAAUACGUAGGUCCCGAGCGUUGUCCGGAUUUAUUGGGCGUAAAGCGAGCGCAGGCGGUUAGAUAAGUCUGAAGUUAAAGGCAGUGGCUCAACCAUUGUAGGCUUUGGAAACUGGAUAACUUGAGUGCAGAAGAGGGUAGUGGAACUCCAUGUGUAGCGGUGGAAUGCGUAGAUAUAUGGAAGAACACCAGUGGCGAAGGCGGCUACCUGGUCUGCAACUGACGCUGAGACUCGAAAGCAUGGGUAGCGAACAGGAUUAGAUACCCUGGUAGUCCAUGCCGUAAACGAUGAGUGCUAGGUGUUGGAGGGUUUCCGCCCUUCAGUGCCGGAGCUAACGUAUUAAGCACUCCGCCUGGGGAGUACGACCGCAAGGUUG
rnacentral:rRNA from 1 species